GCCUGGGUGACUCAGAGGUUGAGUGUCUGCCUUCAGCUCAGGCUGUGAUCCUGGGGUCCUGGGAUCAAAUCCCACACAGGCU
rnacentral:tRNA from 1 species